CCCGGAGGGCUGAGGCAGUGAGUCCUGUGCACAGGUCCUGUAGGCUCCUGACUUCUGUUCUCUUUCCAG
ensembl:miRNA Mir7079 microRNA 7079